GAGUUUGAUCCUGGCUCAGGACGAACGCUGGCGGCGUGCUUAACACAUGCAAGUCGAACGGGCUAUAGCAAUAUAGCUAGUGGCGAACGGGUGAGUAACGCGUGACCAAUCUGCCCCAGACUGCGGAAUAACGGUGGGAAACUACCGCUAAUACCGCAUGUUGAAAUCGAGUCGCAUGGCUUGAUUUUGAAAGCUUCGGCGGUCUGGGAUGAGGUCGCGACCUAUUAGCUUGUUGGUGAGGUAACGGCUCACCAAGGCAACGAUGGGUAGCUGGUCUGAGAGGAUGAUCAGCCACACUGGGACUGAGAUACGGCCCAGACUCCUACGGGAGGCAGCAGUGAGGAAUAUUGCGCAAUGGACGAAAGUCUGACGCAGCAACGCCGCGUGAAGGAUGAAGGUGCUUUGCAUUGUAAACUUCUGUAGGGGGGGACGAAUAUCCCGGUUUUGCCGGGACUGACGGUACCCCCAAAGUAAGCACCGGCUAAUUCCGUGCCAGCAGCCGCGGUAAUACGGAAGGUGCAAGCGUUGUCCGGAUUAACUGGGUGUAAAGGGCGUGUAGGCGGAGGAAUGUGUCGGAAGUGAAAUCGUGCGGCUUAACCGUAUCAAUUGCUUUCGAAACUGUUCCCCUUGAGUUCGAGAGAGGCAGAUGGAAUACCAGGUGUAGCGGUGGAAUGCGUAGAUAUCUGGUAGAACACCGGAAGCGAAGGCGGUCUGCUGGCUCGAUACUGACGCUGAGGCGCGAAAGUGUGGGUAGCGAACAGGAUUAGAUACCCUGGUAGUC
rnacentral:rRNA from 1 species